rnacentral:rRNA from 1 species
AACGUACGCUGGCGGCGCGCCUAACACAUGCAAGUCGAACGCAGUAGCAAUACUGAGUGGCAGACGGGUGAGUAACAUGUGGGAAUCUGCCUUGUGGUUCAGGACAACAUUGGGAAACCGAUGCUAAUACUGGAUAAGCCCUUACGGGGAAAGUUUUAAUGCCAUAAGAUGAGCCCGCAUUUGAUUAGUUAGUUGGUGAGGUAAUGGCUCACCAAGACAAUGAUCAAUAGCUGAUCUGAGAGGAUGAUCAGCCACACUGGGACUGAGACACGGCCCAGACUCCUGCGGGAGGCAGCAGUGGGGAAUCUUGCACAAUGGGGGAAACUCUGAUGCAGCGAUGCCGCGUGAGUGAAGAAGGCCUUUGGGUUGUAAAGCUCUUUUGUAGGGGAAGAUAAUGACUGUACCCUAAGAAUAAGGUCCGGCUAACUCUGUGCCAGCCGCCGCCGUAA